rnacentral:rRNA from 1 species
GACGAACGCUGGCGGCGUGCUUAACACAUGCAAGUCGAACGGUGAAGCGCCUUCCUUUUUGGUGGGUGUGGAUGAGUGGCGAACGGGUGAGUAACACGUGAGUAACCUGCCCCCUUCUUCUGGAUAACCGCAUGAAAGUGUGGCUAAUACGGGAUAUUCUGGGUCUGUCGCAUGAUGGGUCUGGGAAAGAUAUUGUUUCGGUGGGGGAUGGGCUCGCGGCCUAUCAGCUUGUUGGUGGGGUGAUGGCCUACCAAGGCGGUGACGGGUAGCCGGCCUGAGAGGGUGGACGGUCACACUGGGACUGAGACACGGCCCAGACUCCUACGGGAGGCAGCAGUGGGGAAUAGUGCACAAUGGGCGCAAGCCUGAUGCAGCGACGCCGCGUGAGGGAUGGAGGCCUUCGGGUUGUGAACCUCUUUCGCCAGUGAAGCAGGCCUGCCUCGUCUGUGGGUGGGUUGACGGUAGCUGGAUAAGAAGCGCCGGCCAACUACGUG